rnacentral:rRNA from 1 species
UACGUAGGGCGCAAGCGUUGUCCGGAAUUAUUGGGCGUAAAGAGCUCGUAGGCGGUUUGUCACGUCGGAUGUGAAAGCCCGGGGCUUAACCCCGGGUCUGCAUUCGAUACGGGCAGACUGGAGUGUGGUAGGGGAGAUCGGAAUUCCUGGUGUAGCGGUGAAAUGCGCAGAUAUCGGGAGGAACACCAGUGGCGAAGGCGGCACUCUGGGCCGGUACUGACGCUGAGGAGCGAAAGCGUGGGGAGCGAACAGG